rnacentral:tRNA from 1 species
GCCCGCUUAGCUCAGUGGUAGAGCAACCGCCUUGUAAGCGGUAGGUCGUCUGUUCAAGUCAGUCAGCGGGCACCA